rnacentral:lncRNA from 1 species
GUAGUUCCUGGUGAGUAAGAAUAACUCACUGUGUCCAUGGAGACUGAAUUCCGGGGCUCAGACAGUGGAGAAGAGAAACCAGAAGGCAGCAAUGAGAAAGAGUCACACAGAGAUAGAGCCAGGCAGGGAAAAAUCAUUGCAAAUUGCAAGAAGAAACAUUUAACUGGGAAUUGCGGGAUAGGAUCUGUAUUUUAAAAUCUAUAACUAUAGUUCAGAAGAAUUUUUAGAAGCCAAGAAUAGAUGAAGAUGGGGCAGGCAGUUAUUUCAACAGGCAAGGGUUCCAGUGCAUGGAUGAGUAUCUACAACACUGAAAUGUGGGGACCUGCACUGGCCUCUCCCACCCGCCAAGUCUGCGAUCAAGAGUCAGCAGCUGUGUCCUUGGCACUGCUGGUCCGUUUGUGUAACCAGAAGAUGGGUUGUUGGACCACUGAGGUUCUUCUCAGUACUAAGAUUCUGUGACUUUACCAAGAGCAUUCCUGUUUCUUCAGUCAUUUCCGAGAACCCACAAGAAUACAAUGACUGGUUGGUGGCACCUGUAACUCAGAGGAAAACUUUCGGCUUUGGCUUUGGGAAGCAUAAAUGAGGUACUGUGAAUGAAACUAAAACCCUAUGCCAGUUGCAUUCAUUUUCUCCUAUAUAUAUAGCAAAUUACCGCAAGUUGUGUAGGUCACAUAUUUCUUUUCUCAUGGUUUCCAUGAGCCAAAUUUGUUACAGCGUUACAGCAAGCUUGGGAAUCAAUAUAGGAAGACAUACUGCAAGCAUCAAAAU